rnacentral:rRNA from 1 species
UGCAACUCGCCUGCACGAAGUUGGAAUUGCUAGUAAUCGUGGAUCAGCAUGCCACGGUGAAUACGUUCCCGGGUCUUGUACACACCGCCCGUCACACCAUGGGAGCCGGUAAUACCCGAAGUCAGUAGUCUAACCGCAAGGAGGACGCUGCCGAAGGUAGGAUUGGCGACUGGGGUGAAGUCGUAACAAGGUAUC